rnacentral:rRNA from 1 species
UACGGAGGGUGCGAGCGUUGUCCGGAAUCACUGGGCGUAAAGGGCGCGUAGGCGGCCUGAUAAGUAGGGGGUGAAAUCCUGCGGCUUAACCGCAGGGCUGCCUUCUAAACUGUCAGGCUGGAGCACAGUAGAGGCAGGUGGAAUUCCCGGUGUAGCGGUGGAAUGCGUAGAGAUCGGGGAAGAACAUCAGUGGCGAAGGCGGCCUGCUGGGCUGUUGCUGGACGCUGAGGCGCGACAGCGUGGGGGAGCAAACAGGG